UGGGGAAUUUUGGACAAUGGGCGAAAGCCUGAUCCAGCAAUGCCGCGUGUGUGAAGAAGGCCUUCGGGUUGUAAAGCACUUUUGUCCGGAAAGAAAUCCUUGGCUCUAAUACAGUCGGGGGAUGACGGUACCGGAAGAAUAAGCACCGGCUAACUACGUGCCAGCAGCCGCGGUAAUACGUAGGGUGCAAGCGUUAAUCGGAAUUACUGGGCGUAAAGCGUGCGCAGGCGGUUUGCUAAGACCGAUGUGAAAUCCCCGGGCUCAACCUGGGAACUGCAUUGGUGACUGGCAGGCUAGAGUAUGGCAGAGGGGGGUAGAAUUCCACGUGUAGCAGUGAAAUGCGUAGAGAUGUGGAGGAAUACCGAUGGCGAAGGCAGCCCCCUGGGCCAAUACUGACGCUCAUGCACGAAAGCGUGGGGAGCAAAACAGGAUUAGAUACCCUGGUAGUCCACGCCCUAAAACGAUGUCAACUAGUUGUUGGGGAUUCAUUUCCUUAGUAACGUAGCUAACGCGUGAAGUUGACCGCCUGGGGAGUACGGUCGCAAGAUUAAAACUCAAAUGAAUUGAC
rnacentral:rRNA from 1 species